rnacentral:rRNA from 1 species
UUGUGGUUUUGGAUGGACUCGCGGCCUAUCUGCUUGUUGGUGAGGUAAUGGCUCACCAAGGCGACGACGGGUAGCCGGCCUGAGAGGGUGACCGGCCACACUGGGACUGAGACACGGCCCAGACUCCUACGGGAGGCAGCAGUGGGGAAUAUUGCACAAUGGGCGAAAGCCUGAUGCAGCGACGCCACGUGAGGGAUGACGGCCUUCGGGUUGUAAACCUCUUUCAGUAGGGAAGAAGCGAAAGUGACGGUACCUGCAGAAGAAGCGCCGGCUAACUACGUGCCAGCAGCCGCGGUAAUACGUAGGGCGCAAGCGUUAUCCGGAAUUAUUGGGCGUAAAGAGGUCGUAGGCGGUUUGUCUCGUCUGCCGUGAAAGUCCGGGGCUCAACUCCGGAUCUGCGGUGGGUACGGGCAGACUAGAGUGAUGUAGGGGAGACUGGAAUUCCUGGUGUAGCGGUGAAAUGCGCAGAUAUCAGGAGGAACACCGAUGGCGAAGGCAGGUCUCUGGGCAUUAACUGACGCUCAGGACGAAAGCAUGGGGAGCGAACAGGAUUAGAUACCCUGGUAGUCCGUGCCGUAAACGUUGGGCACUAGGUGUGGGGGACAUUCCA